AACGGCGAGUGAAGCGGCAACAGCUCAAAUUUGAAAUCUGGCCUCACGGUCCGAGUUGUAAUUUGUAGAGGAUGCUUCGAGCAUGGUCUGGCCUAAGUUCCUUGGAACAGGACGUCAUAGAGGGUGAGAAUCCCGUAUGCGGCCAGGUGCCUACGCUCAUGUGAAGCUCCUUCGACGAGUCGAGUUGUUUGGGAAUGCAGCUCAAAAUGGGUGGUAAAUUUCAUCUAAAGCUAAAUAUUGGCCAGAGACCGAUAGCGCACAAGUAGAGUGAUCGAAAGAUGAAAAGCACUUUGGAAAGAGAGUUAAACAGUACGUGAAAUUGUUGAAAGGGAAGCGCUUGCAACCAGACUUGCGCGCGGCCGAUCAUCUGGUGUUCUCACCGGUGCACUCGGUCGCGCUCAGGCCAGCAUCGGUUUCGGUGGUUGGAUAAAGGCCCUAGGAAUGUAGCUUCUCUCGGGGAGUGUUAUAGCCUAGGGUGCAAUGCAGCCCACCGGGACCGAGGACCGCGCUUCGGCUAGGAUGCUGGCGUAAUGGUUGUAAGCG
rnacentral:rRNA from 1 species